AUACGUAGGGGGCAAGCGUUGUCCGGAAUUACUGGGCGUAAAGCGCGCGUAGGCGGUUUGAUUAGUCAGAUGUGAAAGCCCUGGGCUUAACCUGGGAACUGCAUUUGAUACUGUCAGGCUAGAGUAUGGUAGAGGGUAGUAGAAUUCCUGGUGUAGCGGUGAAAUGCGUAGAUAUCAGGAGGAAUACCAGUGGCGAAGGCGGCUACCUGGACCAAUACUGACGCUGAGGUGCGAAAGCGUGGGGAGCAAACAGGAUUAGAAACCCCGGUAGUCC
rnacentral:rRNA from 1 species